rnacentral:rRNA from 1 species
CGUGUAGGCGGUUGGUUAAGUCGGAUGUGAAAGCCUGGGGCUCAGCCCCAGAAGUGCAUCCGAAACUAUCCAGCUAGAGCGCGAUAAAGGAGGGUGGAAUUCCUGGUGUAGCGGUGAAAUGCGUAGAUAUCAGGAGGAACACCGGCGGCGAAGGCGGCCCUCUGGAUCGUUGCUGACGCUGAGACGCGAAAGCGUGGGGAGCAAACAGGAUUAGAUACCCUGGUAGUCCACGCCCUUAAACGAUGGGUACUAGGUGUUCGGGGUGUUGACCCCCUGAGUGCCGCAGUUAACGCAUUAAGUACCCCGCCUGGGGACUACGGCCGCAAGGUUAAA